rnacentral:rRNA from 1 species
AAUUCGCCCUUACUCCUACGGGAGGCAGCAGUGGGGAAUCUUGCGCAAUGGGCGAAAGCCUGACGCAGCAACGCCGCGUGAGCGAAGACGGCCUUCGGGUUGUAAAGCUCUGUCAGGAGGGACGAAGCCACUCGGGUGAAUAGCCCAGAGGGUGACGGUACCUCCAGAGGAAGCCCCGGCUAACUACGUGCCAGCAGCCGCGGUAAUACGUAGGGGGCGAGCGUUGUCCGGAAUCAUUGGGCGUAAAGCGCGUGUAGGCGGCCGACCAAGUCCGAUGUGAAAGCUCGGGGCUCAACCCCGAGUCUGCAUUGGAAACUGAUCGGCUAGAGUCCGGAAGAGGAGACUGGAAUUCCUGGUGUAGCGGUGAAAUGCGCAGAUAUCAGGAAGAACACCGGUGGCGAAGGCGGGUCUCUGGGACGGUACUGACGCUGAGACGCGAAAGCGUGGGGAGCAAACAGGAUUAGAUACCCUGGUAGUCCACGCCGUAAACGAUGGGCACUAGGUGUGGGAGGUGUCGACUCCUUCCGUGUCGUAGCUAACGCAUUAAGUGCCCCGCCUGGGGAGUA